GACGAACGCUGGCGGCGUGCUUAACACAUGCAAGUCGGACGGAAAGGCCCUGCUUUUGUGGGGUGCUCGAGUGGCGAACGGGUGAGUAACACGUGAGUAACCUGCCCUUGACUUUGGGAUAACUUCAGGAAACUGGGGCUAAUACCGGAUAGGAGCUCCUGCUGCAUGGUGGGGGUUGGAAAGUUUCGGCGGUUGGGGAUGGACUCGCGGCUUAUCAGCUUGUUGGUGGGGUAGUGGCUUACCAAGGCUUUGACGGGUAGCCGGCCUGAGAGGGUGACCGGCCACAUUGGGACUGAGAUACGGCCCAGACUCCUACGGGAGGCAGCAGUGGGGAAUAUUGCACAAUGGGCGGAAGCCUGAUGCAGCAACGCCGCGUGCGGGAUAACGGCCUUCGGGUUGUAAACCGCUUUCGCCUGUGACGAAGCGUGAGUGACGGUAAUGGGUAAAGAAGCACCGGCUAACUACGUG
rnacentral:rRNA from 1 species